rfam:Staphylococcus saprophyticus subsp. saprophyticus ATCC 15305 DNA, complete genome.
CAAAUGCACUAGGGGUGUUUCUAACUGAGAUGAGUCUGACUCAAACCCUUUGAACCUGAUCUAGUUUAAACUAGCGGAGGAAAGUGUGAAGUCUAGCAU